CUGGCCCCCCGACUGAGCCUGGUUUCUCCUAAGGUUUUUUUUCUCCAUUUCUGUCACCAAUGGAGUUUUGGUUCCUUGCCGCUGUUGCCUCUGGCUUGCUUAGUUGGGGACACUUAAAGUAAAGGACGAUUUUCGAACUCACUUUGAGGCUAACACCACAGAAGCCUACUUGUGUGAGGAGGUGAUUUUCUCAGCUUCUUUAGAAAAGAGGGAAAUGCAAUUUAAGACAAGUCCGGAACUCAAACCAACUCUGGAGUUAACGACACAGAAGCCUGCUUGUGUGAGGAGGCGAUCUUCUCAGCUUCUUCAUAAGAGAGGGAAAGAUGGUUUAAGUCAAGUAAAGGCCACUGUUGAAGAACAGGUGGUGACUGGGAUGAAUGCUGGACAAAGAGGAGAAAUGAUCUUUCCCCCAAAGUGAUGCAACAGUGAUUUUAAAGGAGGAGGCCACCCUUGAUAAUGUCAAAGAUGUUGGACGCCUUUGCUGAGCUGAUAGGGCUUCUUCAUGACUACAUCAAUUAUCUUAAAGGGAUAAUGUAAAUUGUCAGUGAUGCAUGUUCUGUAUGCAAUCAUGGACUAUAAAAAACAAACCGUAAGUGUAUAGUCUGUAAAAACAAAAUGUCAAAUGCUUCUUCUGUGUUGUUUAGUAGAAAUGGCGUU